GAUGAACGCUGGCGGCGUGCUUAACACAUGCAAGUCGAACGAUGAAGCUAGAGCUUGCUCUGGUGAAUUAGUGGCGAACGGGUGAGUAACACGUGAGUAACCUGCCCCGAACUCUGGGAUAACUGCUGGAAACGGUAGCUAAUACUGGAUACGACCUACGAAGGCAUCUUCUGUAGGUGGAAAGAAUUUCGGUUCGGGAUGGACUCGCGGCCUAUCAGCUUGUUGGUGAGGUAAUGGCUCACCAAGGCGACGACGGGUAGCCGGCCUGAGAGGGGGACCGGGCACACUCGGACUGAGACACGGCCCAGACUCCUACGGGAGGCAGGAGUGGGGAAUAUUGCACAAUGGGCGCAAGCCUGAUGCAGCAACGCCGCGUGAGGGAUGACGGCCUUCGGGUUGUAAACCUCUUUUAGUAGGGAAGAAGCGAAAGUGACGGUACCUGCAGAAAAAGCACCGGCUAACUACGUGCCAGCAGCCGCCGUAA
rnacentral:rRNA from 1 species